rnacentral:rRNA from 1 species
AGUCACUGACAUUAGAUACCCGCGUAGUCCAGGGUGUAAACGCUGCAGACUUGGUGGUUCGGGGGCCCGUUUGGGGGCAUUCAGUGCCGGAGAGAAGUUGUUAAGUCUGCUACGUUGGGAGUACGUCCGCAAGGAUAGAAACUUAAAGGAAUUGGCGGGGGAGCACCGCAACGGGAGGAGCGUGCGGUUUAAUUGGAUUCAACACCGUAAAACUCACCAGGGAAGACUGUUACAUGAAGGCCGAGAUGAAGACUCUGCUAGAUUUUCAG